UACGGAGGGUGCAAGCGUUAAUCGGAAUUACUGGGCGUAAAGCGUGCGCAGGCGGUUUGUUAAGUCUGUUGUGAAAUCCCCGAGCUCAACUUGGGAAUUGCAAUGGACACUGGCAGGCUGGAGUAUGGUAGAGGAAGGUGGAAUUCCCGGUGUAGCAGUGAAAUGCGUAGAGAUCGGGAGGAACACCAGUGGCGAAGGCGGCCUUCUGGACCAAUACUGACGCUCAUGCACGAAAGCGUGGGGAGCAAACAGG
rnacentral:rRNA from 1 species